AUUGAACGCUGGCGGCAGGCCUAACACAUGCAAGUCGAGCGGAUGAAGGGAGCUUGCUCCUGGAUUCAGCGGCGGACGGGUGGGUAAUGCCUAGGAAUCUGCCUGGUCGUGGGGGAUAACGUCCGGAAACGGGCGCUAAUACCACAUACGUCCUGAGGGAGAAAGUGGGGGAUCUUCGGACCUCACGCUAUCAGAUGAGCCUAGGUCGGAUUAGCUAGUUGGUGGGGUAAGGGCCUACCAAGGCGACGAUCCGUAACUGGUCUGAGAGGAUGAUCAGUCACACUGGAACUGAGACACGGUCCAGACUCCUACGGGAGGCAGCAGUGGGGAAUAUUGGGCAAUGGGCGAAAGCCUGAUCCAGCCAUGCCGCGUGUGUGAAGAAGGUCUUCGGAUUGUAAAGCACUUUAAGUUGGGAGGAAGGGCAGUAAGUUAAUACCUGGCUGUCUUGACGUUACCAACAGAAUAAGCACCGGCUAACUUCGUG
rnacentral:rRNA from 1 species